UCCUUCUUGACUUGUCAAUUGUCAUAAAUUCAACAGUUAGAUCAUAUUGACAUGUCAUUUAAACAUAUGCUAUUAAAUGAUUCAUUGUAAAACACUUUAUAAAUAUCAUUACACAUUGAUAAUAUGUGAUGCUAGGUAGGUAUUAGGAAGAAGAUAUUUUCAAAAUGAAAAAAGGCACAAAAUGCCUAAGUUCUUUAACGGGCAAGUUAGGGUAAAGAACUAACCCUAAACAAAAAACGCGAGGCAAAGCAAAACCUCACAUUUCAUUUCUCAUUCUCACAUUCUAGAAAAUUCUUGGCCGCUGACAUGAGGUAUGCACAGAUACUCCAUGGAGGUUUUGUAUGAGGCCCUGCUGAAAUUUCCAUGGUGUCCUCUGGAAAAUAAAGGCAUUUUUCAUAAAUCUCACGCUAGAAAGGCAACAUUUAGCUUGGAACUGGGAGCAAAAUAGAGCGAGGAAAGACACAAGUAGCUCAAAGCAGCAACAAUGCAAGACAACACACCCUGAACCAGUCAUUCCCAGACAAUGACUGGUCUCCCCCAUUAUAUGUACAUUUAUAUUUGUUUACUUAUUCAUAUAUAUGCCUUUUCUUCAUUUGCAUUGAAUAAACAAAGUUAGUCUCACGGCUUGUGUGAGACAAUGUACAUUUUUACAUUCAAUAAAGACUACUUUGUACAGAAAAGAUUUGCAUAAA